UAUCUCUGUAGAGUCUGCAUAUCAAUAAGCGGAGGAAAAGAAACUAACAAGGAUUCCCUUAGUAACGGCGAGUGAAGCGGGAAGAGCUCAAAUUUGAAGUCUUCAAGGUUUUACCUUGACGAAUUGUAGUUUAAAGAAGUGUUUUCUGUUGAAGUUUCGGUAAAAGUUCUUUGGAAUAGGACAUCAUAGAGGGUGAGAAUCCCGUAUUUGACCGUUAUUUUCAGCUGUGUGAUACACUUUCAAAGAGUCGGAUUGUUUGGGAAUGCAGUCCAAAAUGGGUGGUAAAUUUCAUCUAAAGCUAAAUAUUGGCGAGAGACCGAUAGCGAACAAGUACCGUGAGGGAAAGAUGAAAAGAACUUUGAAAAGAGAGUUAAACAGUACGUGAAAUUGUCAAAAGGGAAGCGUUUGACACCAGUGUUGUUUUCUCGAAAAUCAAUUAAAAAUGGCAUGAUUUUGUGUUGUAUUGACCUUUAAUCAAGCUUUCUUCACUCUUUUCAUUGUCUUUUUUAAUGCACUUUUCGUUUAACAAGUCAACAUCAGUUUCUUUUGUUGUAAAAGGGUCAUUGGAAGGUGGCUUUCUUUUCGGAGAAAGUGUUUAUAGCCUUUGCCUCUGCAAUCGGAGAGAUUGAGGUCUGCAGCGUAGAUCCUUCGGGGUUAGAUACAUUUGUGCUAAGUUAUAACCUUUCAUAGACAACUUGUUGACUAUGAUCAGUCAUGUAGCUUACUCGCUUAUGCUAUUUUACCUACGCUUAGGAUGUUGAUCUGUAGUGCGUGCGC
rnacentral:rRNA from 1 species